rnacentral:rRNA from 1 species
CAACUUUCAGCAACGGAUCUCUUGGCUCUCCCAUCGAUGAAGAACGCAGCGAAAUGCGAUAAGUAAUGUGAAUUGUAGAAUUCAGUGAAUCAUCGAAUCUUUGAACGCACCUUGCGCCCUCUGGUAUUCCGGAGGGCAUGCCUGUUUGAGUGUCAUUA